CGAUAAAGUCGACACAAGGGAGAGACUGCUCAAAACAGCCUCCGCCCGCUUGAGAAAACUCCCGACGCGCGCCAAACAACCAUGUAGCAGCGUUGUUUGGUCAGCUAAAGCAGACUACAACAUCACAUCGGGCGGGGUUUCCGAGCCAACGAUAGCAGAGACCACAAACGCCCAAGACCUAUGGCGAAGCAUCUUGGAGCAU
rnacentral:lncRNA from 1 species